UCCUACGGGAGGCAGCAGGGGGGAAUAUUGCACAAUGGAGGAAACUCUGAUGCAGCAACGCCGCGUGAGUGAUGAAGGUCUUCGGAUCGUAAAGCUCUUUGAUUGGGGACGAUAAUGACGGUACCCAAAGAACAAGCCACGGCUAACUACGUGCCAGCAGCCGCGGUAAU
rnacentral:rRNA from 1 species